GUUUCCCCAUUGGCUCAUGUACACGUCUUUUUCUGGACUAAGUCAAGGGAAACCCCUACAGUAGACAUUUGGUGCAAAUGCUGUGCUGUAACUCAAACCCUUUAAAUUAUUGUUAUCUGUCUAAUACGUUACAUUAAUAUUUAUUAUUAAUCCCCAUUCAUUCACAGUGUAAAUGCAGUUAUUCACAUCCUGUUAGAAGCUCUUGGUUUUUUUAUGAAUAUUUGCUACAAGAAUCAGUUGCUUUUGGAUGGUGUUAAUUGGGGAGGGGUUGUCCCUUUUUCCUUGCUAGUGUUUCAGCUCUUUUUAUCACCUCUCUGUUUUGCUUCCAGUGUUACUCAAUUUUCUAGUCCUCAUGAAUGGUGCAAAUGUUACAGUUAUGAUAGAUGCUAGUGCAUAGAUGAUAUAAAGUGUCUGCUCCCCACCCUUCCCUUAGUACUUGCUCCAAAGCUAAUGAAUGUGAACCUUUCCUUCCAGAUGUGAAAAAUGUUGAUUCUUUUUUUCCAGAAAAAAAUUCUGAAUAGUCUCAAGUGAUGGAUAGACUAAUCACAUACAAAUAUCAGUUUGUUUUCUAUUGUCCAUUCCUUACUCAUUUCAGAGGAUAUUCAAAGUCCUCUCUCUGAACUUUCUUUUUAAAACUGCAUGAGCUUUUUUCAAAUAAGUGGUACAUGUAUGCUUUUGCUUGAAAGAAAAUUUUCUGAAUGCCCAAAUACAUAACAUAUAAUAAUCAUAAAAGUGUAUAUAUACAAGUGGGGUGAGUGUGUGUGAAUAUUUUUUUUUUGUAGGGGUUCUGUCUUCUUAUAAUGGGUGCUUAAUUUUUUUUGCCUUCCAGAGGAAGGGCAACUAAGUUUUUCUCAUUCUAACGAGAGUUAUAAUAGUUUGCAAUAAUAUGCAAAUAUUUUAACCCUCCUGACUGGGACAUCUUUUAAAAACGCAAAAGUAAUUUUUUCUCAGAUGGUAGAUUUUGCUUCACUUCUGUAAAAUGUUCAGAAUGCUCCAGUGUUAAAUGACAUAAACCACCUUUUAUCCUUCUUUUUUACAUACUUGGUUUUGAAGGACACCUGAUCUGCUGCUUUUCAAAUCUGAUGCCUCUGUGUAUGUACAAUCCUAUCAGUAUCUUGUCCUUUUUAAAGCCAGGUGAAGAACCUGUGCUCCACUCAAUAUUGUUGGAUUCCAUCAGCCCCAGUCAGCAUGGCCAAUGAUCAGAGGUUAUGGGAGUUGUAGUCCUGCAAUAUCUAGAGGGCCACAGAUUCCCCUGCCCCAGUUUUAAAGUACUGUACACUAAUGGAGGGUGUAGGGACGCGGGUGGCGCUGUGGGUAAAACCUCAGCACCUAGGACUUGCCGAUCGCAUGGAGCUGCGGGGUGCGCUCCCGUCGUUCGGUCCCAGCGCCUGCCAACCUAGCAGUUCGAAAGCACCCCCGCGUGCAAGUAGAUAAAUAGGGACCACUUACCAGCGGGAAGGUAAACGGCGUUCCGUGUGCUGCGCUGGCUCGCCAGAUGCAGCUUGUCACGCUGGCCACGUGACCCGGAAGUGUCUGCGGACAGCGCUGGCUCCCAGCCUAUAGAGUGAGAUGAGCGCACAACCCUAGAGUCUGUCAAGACUGGCCCGUACGGGCAGGGAUAUCUUUACCUUUACCUUUAAUGGAGGGUGUGUGCCCAGUAUGUUCCCAGUUCACUUGAGGAGGCUCUUCGGCCUACUGCAUGAUCAGGCCAGCCUGGUACCAUCCAGAUAUUUUGUGCUACAACUCCCAUCAGCCCUAACCAGCGCUACUGAUGGAAGUUGUAGUCCAAAACAUCUGGAUGGCACCAGGUUGAGGAAGUCUGGCCUAGUCAUUAGAAUUUAGACCUGUUGC